rnacentral:rRNA from 1 species
UACGUAGGGUGCGAGCGUUGUCCGGAAUUAUUGGGCGUAAAGAGCUCGUAGGCGGUCUGUCGCGUCGGUCGUGAAAACUUGGGGCUUAACCCUGAGCUUGCGGUCGAUACGGGCAUGACUGGAGUUCGGUAGGGGAGACUGGAAUUCCUGGUGUAGCGGUGAAAUGCGCAGAUAUCAGGAGGAACACCGGUGGCGAAGGCGGCGACCUGGGUAGAUACUGACGCUGAGGCGCGAAAGCGUGGGGAGCAAACAGG